rnacentral:rRNA from 1 species
UGGGGAAUAUUGCGCAAUGGGCGGAAGCCUGACGCAGCGACGCCGCGUGGGGGAUGACGGCCUUCGGGUUGUAAACCUCUUUCGCUAUCGACGAAGCCCCUUCGGGGGUGACGGUAGGUGGAGAAGAAGCACCGGCCAACUACGUGCCAGCAGCCGUGGUAAUACGUAGGGUGCGAGCGUUGUCCGGAAUUAUUGGGCGUAAAGAGCUCGUAGGCGGUGUGUCACGUCGAUCGUGAAAACUUGGGGCUUAACUCUGAGCUUGCGGUCGAUACGGGCAUCACUGGAGUUCGGCAGGGGAGACUGGAAUUCCUGGUGUAGCGGUGAAAUGCGCAGAUAUCAGGAGGAACACCGGUGGCGAAGGCGGGUCUCUGGGCCGAUACUGACGCUGAGGAGCGAAAGCGUGGGGAGCGAACAGG